rnacentral:rRNA from 1 species
GACGAACGCUGGCGGCGUGCCUAAUACAUGCAAGUCGAACGAGAGCGCCCGGUGCUUGCACUGGUCAAUCUAGUGGCGAACGGGUGAGUAACACGUGGGUAACCUGCCCAUCAGAGGGGGAUAACAUCCGGAAACGGAUGCUAAAACCGCAUAGGUCUUCGAACCGCAUGGUUCGAAGAGGAAAAGCGGCGCAAGCUUCUGCUGAUGGAUGGACCCGCGGUGCAUUAGCUAGUUGGUGAGGUAACGGCUCACCAAGGCCGUGAUGCAUAGCCGACCUGAGAGGGUGAUCGGCCACAUUGGGACUGAGACACGGCCCAAACUCCUACGGGAGGCAGCAGUAGGGAAUCUUCCGCAAUGGACGCAAGUCUGACGGAGCAACGCCGCGUGAGUGAAGAAGGUUUUCGGAUCGUAAAACUCUGUUGUUAGAGAAGAACAAGUGCUAGAGUAACUGUUAGCGCCUUGACGGUAUCUAACCAGAAAGCCACGGCUAACUACGUG